UAACGCGUGGGUAACCUGCCUCAUACAGGGGGAUAACAGUUAGAAAUGACUGCUAAUACCGCAUGAGCGCACAGUGCUGCAUGGCACAGUGUGAAAAACUCCGGUGGUAUGAGAUGGACCCGCGUCUGAUUAGCUAGUUGGUGGGGUAACGGCCUACCAAGGCGACGAUCAGUAGCCGGCCUGAGAGGGUGAACGGCCACAUUGGGACUGAGACACGGUCCCAA
rnacentral:rRNA from 1 species